rnacentral:rRNA from 1 species
CAGUAGCCACGGGAAUACAGAGGGUGCGAGCGUUAAUCGGAUUUACUGGGUGUAAAGCGUGCGCAGGCGGUUUGUUAAGACAGAUGUGAAAUCCCCGGGCUCAACCUGGGAACUGCAUUUGUGACUGGCAAGCUAGAGUCUGGCAGAGGGGGGUGGAAUUCCGCGUGUAGCAGUGAAAUGCGUAGAUAUGCGGAGGAACACCGAUGGCGAAGGCAGCCCCCUGGGCCAACACUGACGCUCAUGCACGAAAGCGUGGGGAGCAAACAGGAUUAGAUACCCCCGUAGUCCCUGUCUCUUAUAC